rnacentral:rRNA from 1 species
CGAACGGGUGAGUAACACGUAAGUAACCUGCCUCUUAGACGAGGAUAACAGUUGGAAACGACUGCUAAGACUGG